AGGUCAACGGAGAUCAGUCUCCCUGCCACAGGAAGUCCUGCUUCUGCACAGAUAUAACACUGAGCGCGGCUUAUUUCCAGGUUUUGAGCAGAGCCCGGCACACAACGCGAAGCGUUUUGAACAGCCCCCUUGCAUGCUAGUUUCACUAGCUAUAGAAGAAGAAGCUGCUCUUUUGAACUCACCAAGCAGCGUGCCGCACUGCUCAGGCCACUCAGUAACAUGGCUCCAAAGAACACGAAUACUUUUGUCCGAGAGCUCCUCAUCACUACCCUCAAGAAACUGAGCCCAGCUGAAUUUGAAGAGUUCAAAUAUGAGCUGUGCAAGACACCCAUGAACAAGCUUGUCCAUGCAGGAGAUGAAUACCAUGACGAACCCAAUGUAUUCGGGUGGCUAGACACCAUAGAAGCCAUUGUCGAUAAAUUGAUAAGCAAGUUCAACCGAACUCACUCACUCAUAGCAGCUGAGACGGUGCUGGAAAAAAUAGGGAGAUGGGACCUCUCUCAAGAACUCCAGGGAAAAGCAAAAGGCCUGGCAGCGACCCAUCAUGGAUUGAAAAGAAAAAGACAAAUAAUAAAAGGAUUAUUCAAGGUAGCGACCGGAGCGGCGAUAGGAACAACUUCAUGGGGAGCUGCAGGAGUAGCAGUGGCUGGAGCACCAUUGGCCGUGGCAGUCGGGGGUGUUUUUCUCGGAGGGAUAUUAGUAAUAAAAGGCAUGAGACACAUCUUUUAAGCGGAACUGAAGGACAGCCACAGGUUCCCGUUACAGCAAUAGCUCAGAUGUUCCUGCCCCCGGCUUCCUUCGAAGACAUUCCAGAGUCGGAAAGCCACAGUCACAAGUUUGCUGAUCCGAGCCCUCUAGCGAAUUAGACAGCAAUAAACAGCGAUUAUUUCCCA